UAAAGGGGCGGGAAGUGUCAUUCUCCAUCAGUGUUUGUGAAACCGAUACAUUUUACACUUGCGUGUACACAUUGAAAGGAGAGGAGACAGCAACCAUGUCGUGUCCAGGGAAUAAAGACACUAAAGUCACAGGAAGCUUGGAAAAAGACAACAAAACAUCCCAGACGACAGGUCCUAGUGAGAACCUUACAGAAACAGAUGGGUAUUUCUGCAGCAGUUCUUUCUCUAUGGACCCUGCGGAGGAGUAUAAGAUGAACCACAAGCGGCGAGGCCUGGCUCUCAUCUUCAACCAGGAGCACUUCUACUGGUAUCUGAGGAUGCCCCCCGCAACGGGACCAAUGCUGACCGCUCCAAUCUGGUCAAAAGAUUUGAGGACUUGAACUUUGAAGUGCAGGCCUUUGAUAAUCUGAAGGUGGAGGAAGUUCUGGAUCAAAUCAGUCAGGCGGCUGAGGCCAACCAUGCUGAUGCAGACUGCUUCGCCUGCGUCUUUCUGAGCCAUGGAGAGAACGACCACGUCUAUGCUUACGACGACAAGAUCGCUAUCCAGGACAUCACUGCCCUGUUCAAAGGAGACAAGUGUAAGAGCCUGGUGGGCAAGCCCAAGAUCUUCAUACUACAGGCGUGUCGUGGGGACAAGCAUGACGAUCCAGUGACCCCCAUGGACGUGGUGGACAGUGAAGUGAAGACCAACGAGGUGGUGGUGGAUGCUGGGGUGGUCUACACCCUCCCUGCUGGCGCUGACUUCCUCAUGUGUUACUCUGUGGCUGAAGGCUACUAUUCCCACCGCGAGACGAUCAACGGCUCCUGGUACAUCCAGGACCUGUGUGGGGCCAUGCGGAAGUUCGGGGAUUCCCUGGAGUUCACGGAGCUCCUGACCCUGGUUAACAGGAAGGUGUCCAUGAGGAGCGUCGGGAAUUGUAACGACAAGACCGCCAUCGGGAAGAAACAGGUCCCCUGCUUCGCUUCCAUGCUCACCAGGAAGCUCUACUUCCGACCCAAGAAGCAGUAAGGUCUCCAUCCACUGGGCAGCUACUACGUCAUUCCUGAAUCCUGCUGUAGUUGUUUUGAAUGUUUUUUUGGGGAGAAAGGUUGUCCUUGACUAUAAUGUCUGGUGGUUCUUUUUGUUAAACGUUUGUCUACAUUAUUUCGAUGUUUGUCUUGAGAACCAUGAAACAUACUUCAUCAAGCUGUGCAUAUUCCCUUUAUUCUAAUCUUUCCUAUGAAACCAAAUGGAGAUCAUGUCAUUGGCUGAUGAUUGUGUAUGCAGUGUUAUUUUAACACACAUUCUGUGGUGGUAAAACUGACCUAAAACAAAGCAUGGUACUAUACUGGUGAAACCUGCUUGGCUGCUCGGCUUCAGGCUUUCCCUGUUGGUGUUGACAGAGGUCAUGGAAUGUACCCGCAGGGCAGGUAAAAGAGUGACAUGAGAAUGGUAAUUGAGCAUUAACAUUUCAAAUGACUUUAUUCUCAGUCUGUUUGUGGAUAGCUGUUUGUUAAGAGGGGAUUCUCAGUCAGUAAAGGAUUUUGCAUCACCAGUCCUUUAAGGCCUUUCUCGGGAGAAUACUGCGAGCAUUGACUAGUGGUUCCCUGGGCUUGAUUUGUUUACAUCAACUAUCUGUGUCAAAUAUACAAAGACAUGUGCACAUUGUUUGAAGGAGGAUGUGGCUCUGGGGUUAAAUCCCUACCGUACAUCCAAAAGGUGUGGCUUUGAUCCUUAUCUCUUGUGCAAGAUUGUGCAACUGUCUUUGUCCGACAUAGGAAGAAAAGUGCCGAUUGGGGUAAAGAGUGGGUGGCUCUGGGGUUGAACGCCUUCCUUGCAACCAACAGGAUGUGGGUUCAUACCAUAUCAAUACCGUCCAGCACGGUGUUUCCUCCGACACAUUGGUGCGGCUGGCUUCCGGGUUGGAGGCGCGCUGUGUGAAGAAGCAGUGCUGCUUGGUUGGGUUGUGUUUCGGAGGAAGCAUGGCUUUCGACCUUCGUCUCUCCCAAACCUGUAUGGGAGUUGUAGCGAUGAGACAAGAGAGUAAUUAGUAACAAUUGGAUACCACGAAAUUGGGGAGAAAAGGGGGUAAAAAAUAAAUAAUAAUAUGUUGCCUUGUUCUGUCAAAAAGGGAAUUUGUGUCAUUUCUCUUUGUACUUGGAUGUGCUUAGCCUUUACAACUCAAAUGUAGUUUUACAUGUUUUGAAAGUGGCAGGCUAAACGUGAACAAACAACUCCAAUGUGGAAAGUACCUCUGGGAGUCAAGUGUCUAGUACACACUGCAAGUUUGGUCACAUGACCUACUGUACUACUCUGACUCAGGAAAACCAGUCCUAUACCAUUGUUCUUUGUUAUUGAGGGUAUUUGACAACUGUUUUCAACUUAAGAUAAGAUCACUUUAUUGGUAAAUACACCCCCCCCCACAUCCCAUCUGGGCUGGGAUUGGAAACCCUCCGCUUGCUGGCUCGCAUCUCCAACCACUUGGCUACCUGUCGCUCCAAUACUGAACAACUUUAACACUACCAAUCUUUUAAAUACCAUUUUACACCCCCCCACAUCCCAUCUGGGCUGGGAUUGGAAACCCUCCGCUUGCUGGCUCGCAUCUCCAACCACUUGGCUACCUUUCGCUCCAAUACUGAACAACUUUAACACUACCAAUCUUUUUAAAUAACAUUUUUGUACACCACAUGACUACAGGCAUAUUCUUCAGCCAGAAAAUAUGCGCAAGUGUGCAUUAUAUAACUCAGAUAAGACAACUCAGGGUACCAAUCAACCGACCGUCUCAUGUUUAAAAAAUAAAUAAUUGUUAGUCACUUGGGAGAUAUUUACUAAAGCAAUGACAAUGCAUGAGGUAUUACUCAUUUGUAUGUGAACCUGAGUGCUGGACACCAAUUCAUGUUUCUAUUUCUGAAUUGUUCAAGAAAAUGAGGACCGUUUUAGUCUCCAUGGGUGAAUAUAAGGAACCACUGCUUAGUAACAGUAAUGUACUUUUCUUGUAUUAUGGUCCACCAGGGAAAUGUAUCUCUGACCUUUUGGGAGAUUGGGUUUGCACUAAUAGCAUUUGGAGAGGUGCGUGGGGCUCCUAUUGAGUUAGAAUCUCUCAUUUAUAAAAUGACAGUUGUAAAACUGUUGAAAUAUGUUUGGGGUUUUGAUGAUUGAAACAAAAGUCUGAGGUGCAAUAAAAUAUUGAAAUGUAA